rnacentral:tRNA from 1 species
AUUCUUUUAGUAUAUAAAAUAUAUUUAACUUCCAAUUAAAAGAUCUUAAAAAAGAAAGAAUA